rnacentral:lncRNA from 1 species
AAAACUUUCAUACAGAGUCCAAAUGACAUGUUUUUUUUUAAUUUGUUAUAAAGAAAAUGAUAGACUUUAAGUCACAUUUCAUCUUUUAGACAUUUAGCUUCUAGCUGUCCUGGUUGAAUUUGGAAAACGAAAAGAACAAAUCAUGUUCUAUUGUAGUUGAUAUUUUAAAAUUAAACAAUGAUUAUGUUGGUUUACAAGGGCGGCACAUGUCUGUUAGUUUUGGCCUUGGAUGCCUCCAUAAUGUACUCAAUACUUUGUAUCAUUUCAAUUCACCAAUUUGGUGUUCCACUUGAAUUCUGUAUUCACCAAUCACUGCUUAAAUGUUGUAGCAUUGAAACGAGGGGUCAAUUAUAUUUUUUUUCAAAAUUCAUCAAGGAAAAACUUUACCUCGAACAAGAUAUCUUGAAGCGGAGAAGACCGUCGUUGAUAAUAAUAAUAAAAAAAAAACGUGAUCUUUUCCUUCGACCUAAAAAAUCAAUAUGUAAUUAUGUAAAAAUUGAAAAUGUACAUCGACUGAGGUGAAGAUCGGUGGAAAAACACAAAGUUGGUCGUGUUCACAAGUGUGAUACGGACGGACCAGUAUUCUUUUUCAUUUUUGAAAAAACAUCAUAAAAGCUUUUACACCAACAAAUUAAAUCGUUAUUGGCAUGCGGCAAAUAUUUGGCGAAAGACUCACAUAAUCACAAAAGUGAAGAGAAAAUGGGUUAGGAUUCUGAAUGAUUGGAAUAUUUGUUUAAUCAAUUCAACAUGAAAUGUCGUGCAAAUACAUACGAAAUAAGAAUAUUAUAUGACAGAGACAUAUGUAUGGUAGACGUUUCCCCUUUCGUGGAUAUCCAGAAAUCGAGAAAGGGAAAUCAAGAAAUUGAGAAAUCGGGA